AAUCGAGUAUUUUUCGCAAAGAAAAGUGAUCCACAAAAAUAUUUGGAGAGGUUUGCCUCAAGUAAACUCUUAUACACAAUUAAUUGGGAUAAUUUCACAUAUGAAUAAUGCUAUAAAAUUCUUAUAAAACUCUUAUACCCGCUCCCAUUCAAAAUCCCAUUAAAAGGCGCACCAACUUUUUGGAAACAAAUCAAAGGCAAAAACUCGAAAGCGCCCUGGCGCCUGAUUAAUAUUUAUUAUUUCAUUAGCUCUCAUUACACCAUCGCAUCAGCCCCAUCGCAUCAGCAAUCCAAUUGUUGGAGGAGAAUUGUGGUGUGGUGUGGUGUGGUAUGGAGUGGUGCUUGGAUUGUGGUUUUUGGCGGGUUGGGUUGGCAAUACGGCUUUCCAUUCGGCAUUCGAUGGGUAACUUGAGUGUGGGGCCUGAGGCCCUGGGGCGUGGCCAAGACAUAGGCACAUACAUAUGUGUAUGUGUGUGUGUUUGUGUGGGGUAAUUGGAUAUUAUUGAGCAACUCUUUUGGGGGUAAGGUAGCUUUUGUGGUAAGAGUCUGCUUGCAUAAGUCGCCCUUUCCCCCUCUCUUUCCGUCGGUAAUAUGAUCCAACACCUCAAAUCCCCAUAGCCUAAACCGCAUUUGAAUGUACAUACAAUACAAAUUAUAAACACAUUUUCUUUCUGUAACUGCCACGAAGCAACGAAAUUCCAUUAACUUCCUGUAUUUUUGUGGAUGUUGGCACUCGGCUAAUUGUUGUUGUUGCUGUUGCUGUUGCUGCCCCGCAUUCGUUGUUGCCUCUAAUUUGUCAAAAGCAUUAAGCCAAGAGAGUCGUAAAUAAAACAAUCAACUCUGGAGAGACAUUUGGACACUUUUUUGUCGGUUUUUUUUUUGUUUGUUGUUGAAAAUGCGACGAACCGUGAAGGUUAGCUGAUGGAACAGAUACAUAUAUAUAUAUAGAAUAUUAUGGGUGGGUGUACGAUUAUAUAAAUGUAUUUAUCCAUGGGAAAUUAGCUGCGGUUGGUGUUGGGUUUUUUUUCCUAUGGUUUUUAUAGCUCUGGGAAGAACGUUACGAGUACAAAAAAAAAAUCUGUGUGCUUGUACAGUACGUUUCACUGCCAUAAAAAAAAGUGUGUGAAUCCGAGGUUAGGUCGUAAAGAUAGAUCACAUGAUGCCUUCGUUAGUAAAGAUCAUUCCUUAAGGCGUUUAAAUUCAAUAAUAAAUACUGAUGGUUGGCUAGGAAGUGGGAAAACUUGGUAAUCGAAUGAUUACUGAUGUAUACUAGCGGAUAUUCUAUAACCUAUACACUAUAUUCGACACUCAAUAGCCGUGGUAUUAUAUUCUCCACUCCCUCUCAUGAAAAUUCCAUUCCCAAAAUAUGAUUUUUGAAUAUUUCUAUCACAAAAAUUUACCCUGAAUAUUGUGGUGUAGUAUUUUGUUCUGAUAUUUUACUGCUAAUUUUCUAGUAUUUUCUGGUAACUUUCUAACUGUAUUUAGCGUAUUUUCUGGUAUUUUCAUAGUAUUUUUUCAACAAAUAUUUUGUAGAUUUUAUAAAAGUAUUUUAUGGAGCAAAUUUGUGGUAUUUCAGUUUCUAGUAUUUUCUGGUAUUUUUCUGAAAAUUAUCAGUAUUCUUUUACGUUUAUAUAUUGUCUUGAUUAUAGUUUAGUAUUUUUCAGUAUAGUAUAUACUGCCUUAUAUUUUCCUAUGUUUCCUGGUAUUUCCAUAAUAUGCUCUGGUAAUAUUCUAGUAUAUUCGGGUAUUUUUCCAGUACUAGUUCGGAACUUGCAUUUAAAAUCAAUCUAUCCCUGAAUAAAUGUCACUUUCUCCAUAAAUCAUAUAAAAUGCCACUCUUUUAACCCUUUUGUACUACCAAAACGCACUCUAGCAUGUGGCUUAGAUCGUGUUAUGGGCAAAAACGCAAUGCAUGAUCAUUAAAA
rnacentral:sRNA from 1 species